GAACCCUAGAUUCGAGUGAAUGAGAAUUACUCAAAAUAGACCUUGUGAAUAUAGAAUAGAUUGACCAUGUUAAUGCUCAUAAUUCAAGUAGGAAAUUAUAUUGAGUUCCUUGGUCAAAUUUGUGAAAUGAUAUGUUAUUACAUUCAUUGAUUAACAUAAUUAAAUGCUCAGAUCAUGUAUCUUUGAUUCAUGAAUUGAUUGAUUGACGGGAUUGUGGAAUGACCUUGGUUAUGGUUGUUAUUGUGGAGCCAAAAAAAAUCAAGAGGAGACACGUAGAUUUUUGGGUAAAAGGACAAAAUUACCCUCGAGGCACAUCAGGAUUCCUACGCGCGUGCAGUGGACAAUCAUCCCUCAAUCAAGUCAAAGGUGCCCAAAAUAGGUAACAAAUUCAAAGUAAUUUCAUCCAUCCUCAUCUUAUAUUUUCCACAAGGUAAUUAUUUCAUAACCUUCAAAACAUUCCAUAUAUAUUGAGUUAAUUGGCUAAUUAAUGGAUUUAUUCCUAAUUAAUCCAUUAAUUACCAAUUAAGUCACCUAUUUCACACAAAAAUUCCCCAAAGGGCCGGCCACUUUUUCUUAAAAGAAGGACCGG
rnacentral:lncRNA from 1 species